CGUGGAGUUCUUCCGGCGCUCUGAUUGCCCGUGAGAUGCUGUGACGUAGAGGAGGCAGAGACACAUCAGCCUCCUGCUGGUCUGCUGAUGCAUUUGUCUCCCCGCAAACGGAAGGUCGCCGGGCAGGAGGGUACGGUGUGGACGCCAUGAACGUGUUGUGCUGGUGUGUUGCCAUGGCAACAGUGAGGACUGGCUUGUUGUAGCCUUGGGCCCAGCUGUUUUAACAGGUGGUUCGAGAGGGAUGUUAUGAAACUGAACAGCGGCGGAAAGGAGGCUCUCAUCGAGAUGUGAAAUGUCACCUGAUCUGAGGUUAUCUACCAUUAUCACAUACCUGUAUGCUUGGUUAACUACUGCUGUGUUUGACUCAUACAAUGCCGGCUUAUUGAUACGUAAACGAGCAACGUCUCUGCUGCAAUAACAAACAGUCCUUAGAAUAGACACAAAUUGACUCUAUAGGGCAAAUUAGACCAGUUUUGUAACACAGUCACAUUCUUUAAAAGGACUUGGUUCUCAUGCAGGGUAAUUAUAAGCACUCAUUGUAGUGAUAACCAAGAAUUACCAUAGAGUUGUGUGAAGGUACUGACCCAGGUGUGUGUGGCACUGCAGGGGUGACAUUUCCUGGGGGGGGGCAGAAAAACUGACUGACCACACACUCAGAACCCAUACUUCACUCUCACAGGAAAAGCAAUGAAAUUCUAUGUACGUGUGCUUGUAGAAAUAGCAAAAAUCUUCCCCUUAUCUUUAUACUGAUGGAAGAACUUGUUUUUGAAGCUAAAGGAGGGUAGGAUUAGUCAGUCAUGCCUUGGUUUGAGCCAAUGGAGAGCAGGGGACAGAGUGAUGGACGGUUCUUUAAUCCCGCCCCCUGUGGGUUUUAAAGCCCCUUUUCCCUAUUUGUCAUCAUUUCUUAUUACAUUUCACUUUUCUUGAUAACAGCACAGUGACCAUUUAUCCAGUGCUGAUAAUGUGCAAAUUACAUGCAUGCUAACAGCUGGCUAAUUUACCAAUGGAACAUCCCUCAUGCAGAGACGCAGGCUUUAAUGCACGCUCGCAAUUAUAGCCAUCGCCUGCACCUCCAGUGCAACUCCGCCCUGAAUGCACUGAGGGUGCGGCACGGCCGAGGGCCCCCCAGGCUCCAGAGAGCGACGCCUUUCCGCUGGAGCCAGGGGGCAUAAUGGGAAAGGAGGUCCAAAUGUUAGAUCAUCUUAACGGCAUACAUGAGAACGUUUUACAAGGCCUACUGGUUGUUUUUCACUCUGGCAUCAGGGUAUCGGGCUUCUCAAAGAGCGCCCCCUUCAGUGGGGCUUGUGAUGCGCAGCUGAUUUCCAGACUCGAGAAGAAGGAAAAGCAUGUUGCAUCCUUCUAUCCUUGCAGCUAUACAGAAAGGGUUUAUUGCUGUGAUCUGAAGUUACCAAGAUAUGAAAUCUUUACCGUGGGAAGUGCUGUUGCCAUGGCGUCAGGAUUGCUCUCCCUUCCCCCCCAAUCACGCUGUUUUUCAGGCACCCUGCAGUCACCAGAGAGCAUGUGCUCAGUCAGUAGGGCUUACUGGGAGAUGGGAGACCCUGUGUGAGGGCUGGGGAGGGUCAACAUCCAUGCUAUUGGUGGGGGUUAGUCUUCAAGUACUUGGUGUUUGGCGGGGGGGUCGCAAAAGGGCCAUGCCCUGUGUGCCGUGACACAUUACUCCUGUGAUCGUCAUCAAAAUUAUCUGUCAUUUGUGCCGGUUUGUACCACAUGGGAUCACUUUCAUUCACCUCCUGGCCACCAAACACCCUGUCUGCAGCUCCUCAGAUCACUCUCAGGCUGACUGUGAACGCCCAACAAGACGUGUCGUCUCGGAGAUGCUCUGACCCAGUCGUUAGGCCAUAAUGAUUUAUCUUACUGUUACCUUACUGCCUAAUAUAACCUAAUAACCUUGGUCUGCACCAUUUAUUUUAAGAUCGUCAAGAUCAUUCACUUCAAAUGGGGACAAUCAUAAUGUUAUGGCUGCUUGUGUUUAUAAGCAGCUGUGAAGCUGCUCAGCUUCGAUUCGCCGGAAUCGUCUUCCUGAAGCACAGACGCACCACGGGCUGUACUGCUCAGCCUGUGACGCUUGGACGUGAGUCAGAGCCGCCCGUGUCUCUACGCAUGUUAAUUAGAAGCUUCCAGAAAGGAGCCGCUUUUUGUCAUAUGCCUGAGUACCGUGAGUCUGUCGUCACUGACAGCAGCUGGGGAUUAAUAUUAGGGGCUGGGAGGGUACGUGGUGCUGAAUGAGCGAGUGCCGUCGACAGCCCGCUGCUGGUGGGAGUGCACUACCUGCCCCAGUGUGGUGAGCUGUGCACACUGCAGACCUCCAGCCUGUCACCGCAGGCAGCGAGCUGUGCACACUGCAGACCUCCAGCCUGUCAUCGCAGGCAGGCUCCAGGUGCUGAUCAAGCUUAGAUUCAUGGUCCUUCGUUGAUUUUUCCCCCUCGGCCUCUCAUGCCCUCCUCCUUACCCUGUUUCUGGCAAGCGAUCGGAGCGCCCUCUACAGGCACCGCAAAGGGGUGUUUUUUUUUUUUUGGUUUGCUGAGUGGGGGGCUCCUGUCUCCCACAGCGGGUGAAAUAAAUAUCCAAUUAUCUCCCCUCUGCAGCGACCCGGGCAAAAGGCACUGAUUAAAUCCUUUUCUCUCUGUGUGCAAACUCUGUAUGUAUAUUAAAAAAAAAAAAACAAAUGCACUCUGUGUUUGCCAAACAUUUCCCUCCUUGCA